rnacentral:rRNA from 1 species
UACGAGAGGCCCAAACGUUAUUCGGAUUUACUGGGCUUAAAGAGUUCGUAGGCGGUGCGGUAAGUGGGGUGUGAAAGCCCUCGGCUCAACCGAGGAACUGCGCUCCAAACUACCACACUCGAGGGAGAUAGGGGUGUGCGGAACUUCCAGUGGAGCGGUGAAAUGUGUUGAUAUUGGAAGGAACGCCGGUGGCGAAAGCGGCACACUGGGUCUUGACUGACGCUGAGACACGAAAGCCAGGGGAGCGAACGGG